AGCAGCCGCGGUAAUUCCAGCUCCAAUAGCGUAUAUUAAAGUUGUUGCAGUUAAAAAGCUCGUAGUUGAAUUUCGGGAUCAGUACGCUGGUCGUGCCUCCGGUAUGCACUGGUGUCACUGGUUCCUCCCUUCUGAAGAACCGUUAUGCCAUUCAUUUGGUGUGACGGGGAAUCAGGACUGUUACUUUGAAAAAAUUAGAGUGUUUAAAGCAGGCUCGCGCUUGAAUACAUUAGCAUGGAAUAAUGAAAUAGGACGUUUGAUCUUACUUUGUUGGUUUCUAGGAUCGACGUAAUGAUUAAUAGGGAUAGUUGGGGGCAUUAGUAUUCAAUUGUCAGAGGUGAAAUUCUUGGAUUUAUUGAAGACUAACUACUGCGAAAGCAUUUGCCAAGGAUGUUUUCAUUAAUCAAGAACGAAAGUUAGGGGAAUCGAAGACGAUCAGAUACGUCGUAG
rnacentral:rRNA from 1 species